GAGGGUAUAGCUCAGUGGUAGAAUGUAUGCUUAGCAUGCACAAGGUCCUGGGAUCAAUCCCCAGUACCUCCA
rnacentral:tRNA from 1 species